rnacentral:rRNA from 1 species
UACGGAGGAUGCAAGCGUUAUCCGGAAUUAUUGGGCGUAAAGCGUCCGUAGGUGGCUUUACAAGUCAGCUGUUAAAGCGCGGAGCUUAACUCCAUAAAGGCAGUUGAAACUGUGAGGCUAGAGUGCGGUAGGGGUAAGGGGAAUUCCCAGUGUAGCGGUGAAAUGCGUAGAUAUUGGGAAGAACACCGGUGGCGAAAGCGCUCUGCUGGACCUUAACUGACACUGAGGGACGAAAGCUAGGGGAGCGAAUGGG